AGCGCACACGGUGGAUGCCUAGGCGGUCAGAGGCGAUGAAGGACGUGGUAGCCUGCGAAAAGUGUCGGGGAGCUGGCAACAAGCUUUGAUCCGGCAAUAUCCGAAUGGGGAAACCCACUGCUUCGGCAGUAUCCUGCAGUGAAUUCAUAGCUGCUGGAAGCGAACCCGGUGAACUGAAAUAUCUAAGUAACCGGAGGAAAAGAAAUCAACCGAGAUUCCCUAAGUAGUGACGAGCGAACGGGGAACAGCCCUUAAGCUGGAAUGGCUUUAGAAAAACAAUCUGGAAAGAUUGGCCAUAGAAGGUGAUAGCCCUGUAUUUAAAAGGGCCACUCCAGUGAAGACGAGUAGGGCGGGGCACGUGAAACCCUGUCUGAAUAUGGGGGGACCAUCCUCCAAGGCUAAAUACUCCUGACCGACCGAUAGUGAACCAGUACCGUGAGGGAAAGGCGAAAAGAACCCCGGAGAGGGGAGUGAAAUAGAUCCUGAAACCGUGUGCGUACAAGCAGUAGGAGCUCGCAAGAGUGACUGCGUACCUUUUGUAUAAUGGGUCAGCGACUUACUGUUCGUGGCAAGCUUAACCGUAUAGGGGAGGCGAAGGGAAACCGAGUCUGAUAAGGGCGCAUAGUCGCGGGCAGUAGACCCGAAACCGGGUGAUCUAGUCAUGGCCAGGGUGAAGGUGCCGUAACAGGUACUGGAGGCCCGAACCCACGUCUGUUGCAAAAGACGGGGAUGAGCUGUGAUUAGGAGUGAAAAGCUAAUCGAACCCGGAGAUAGCUGGUUCUCCUCGAAAGCUAUUUAGGUAGCGCCUCAUAUGUAUCCUCUCGGGGGUAGAGCACUGUUAUGGCUAGGGGGUCAUCGCGACUUACCAAACCAUUGCAAACUCCGAAUACCGAGACGGACUGUAUGGGAGACACACGGCGGGUGCUAACGUCCGUCGUGAAAAGGGAAACAACCCAGACCCACAGCUAAGGUCCCAAAUUCACUGCUAAGUGGAAAACGAUGUGGAAAGGCAUAGACAGCCAGGAGGUUGGCUUAGAAGCAGCCACCCUUUAAAGAAAGCGUAAUAGCUCACUGGUCGAGUCGGUCUGCGCGGAAGAUUUAACGGGGCUAAGCAGUGAACCGAAGCUUGGGGUGCAUAAAACGUGUUUUAUGCGCGGUAGAGGAGCGUUCCGUAAGCCUGCGAAGGUGGAUUGAGAAGUCUGCUGGAGGUAUCGGAAGUGCGAAUGCUGACAUGAGUAACGAUAAUGCGGGUGAAAAGCCCGCACGCCGAAAGCCCAAGGUUUCCUUGCGCAACGUUAAUCGACGCAGGGUUAGUCGGUCCCUAAGGCGAGGGCGAAAGCCGUAGUCGAUGGGAAGCAGGUUAAUAUUCCUGCACCUCGCGUGAGUGCGAUGGAGGGACGGAGAAGGUUAGGUGUACCGGGCGUUGGUUGUCCCGGGGAAAGGCGGUAGGUUUGGAUCUUUGGCAAAUCCGGGAUCCUUUAAGACCGAGCACCGAGACGAGCCUUUUGGGCAAAGUCACUGAUACCACGCUUCCAGGAAAAGCUCCUAAGCUUCAGCUCACGAAGACCGUACCGUAAACCGACACAGGUGGGUAGGAUGAGAAUUCUCAGGCGCUUGAGAGAACUCGGGUGAAGGAACUAGGCAACAUGGCACCGUAACUUCGGGAGAAGGUGCACCCUUUUUGGUGGCUCAUGCGAGCUAUAGCUGAAGAGGGGCGCAGAAACCAGGCCGCUGCGACUGUUUAUCAAAAACACAGCACUCUGCAAACACGAAAGUGGACGUAUAGGGUGUGACGCCUGCCCGGUGCUGGAAGGUUAAUUGAUGGGGUCAGCCGCAAGGCGAAGCUCUUGAUCGAAGCCCCAGUAAACGGCGGCCGUAACUAUAACGGUCCUAAGGUAGCGAAAUUCCUUGUCGGGUAAGUUCCGACCUGCACGAAUGGCGUAACGACAGCGGCGCUGUCUCCACCCGAGACUCAGUGAAAUUGAAAUCGCUGUGAAGAUGCAGCGUUCCCGUGGCAAGACGGAAAGACCCCGUGAACCUUUACUAUAGCUUUACACUGAACGUUGAGUUCGUCUGUGUAGGAUAGGUGGGAGGCUAUGAAACUGUGGCGCUAGCUGCAGUGGAGCCAUCCUUGAAAUACCACCCUGUCGUGCUUGACGUUCUAACCUAGGUCCGUUAUCCGGAUCAGGGACCGUGUAUGGUGGGUAGUUUGACUGGGGCGGUCUCCUCCUAAAGAGUAACGGAGGAGCACGAAGGUACGCUCAGCGCGGUCGGACAUCGCGCACUGUGUGCAAAGGCAUAAGCGUGCUUGACUGCAAGAUCGACGGAUCAAGCAGGUACGAAAGUAGGUCUUAGUGAUCCGGUGGUUCUGUAUGGAAGGGCCAUCGCUCAACGGAUAAAAGGUACUCCGGGGAUAACAGGCUGAUACCGCCCAAGAGUUCAUAUCGACGGCGGUGUUUGGCACCUCGAUGUCGGCUCAUCACAUCCUGGGGCUGUAGUCGGUCCCAAGGGUAUGGCUGUUCGCCAUUUAAAGUGGUACGCGAGCUGGGUUCAGAACGUCGUGAGACAGUUCGGUCCCUAUCUGCCAUGGGCGUUGGAAGUUUGAGAGGGGCUGCUCCUAGUACGAGAGGACCGGAGUGGACGAACCUCUGGUGUUCCGGUUGUCACGCCAGUGGCAUUGCCGGGUAGCUAUGUUCGGAAGCGAUAACCGCUGAAAGCAUCUAAGCGGGAAGCGCGCCUCAAGAUGAGACUUCCCGGGGCACAAGCCCCCUAAAGGAACCAUGUAGACUACGUGGUUGAUAGGUCAGGUGUGUAAGUACAGCAAUGUAUUGAGCUAACUGAUACUAAUGAUCCGUGCGGCUUGACC
rnacentral:rRNA from 1 species